CCCUUCCCUUGCUUCCCCCUCCAUCUCAUCCCCUCCCGCCCAUCCCUGCUCCCUUCCCUGCCCAGCACAGGGAGCCCGGGGCCAAUCGGCUCUUGCAGACGAUCAAAUGUCACUAUAAGUUGAGAGCUGCAUCCCCUCGGGACGCUCGCAGAUCCCAGCCUGCCCGUCCCCUCCGACAGGAGCUUGGUGCUUCUCUCCACUCCUCCCCGAAACUAAUUGCCAACAUGUCUGAUACCGAGGAAGUGGAGCAAGGAGAGGGUAAGUCUUAAACCUAUCUGUAAUUGCUUCUGUGCA